rnacentral:tRNA from 3 species
CGCGGGGUGGAGCAGUGGCAGCUCGCAAGGCUCAUAACCUUGAGGUCGCAGGUUCGAAUCCUGCCCCCGCAACCA